CCUACGGGUGGCAGCAGUAGGGAAUAUUGCUCAAUGGGGGAAACCCUGAAGCAGCAACGCCGCGUGGAGGAUGAAGGUUUUCGGAUUGUAAACUCCUUUUGUUAGAGAAGAUAAUGACGGUAUCUAACGAAUAAGCACCGGCUAACUCCGUGCCAGCAGCCGCGGUAAUACGGAGGGUGCAAGCGUUACUCGGAAUCACUGGGCGUAAAGAGCGAGUAGGCGGGAUAGCAAGUCAGAUGUGAAAUCCUAUGGCUUAACCAUAGAACUGCAUUUGAAACGGAUAUUCUAGAGUAUAGGAGAGGUAGGUGGAAUUCUUGGUGUAGGGGUGAAAUCCGUAGAUAUAAAGAGGAAUACUAGUGGCGAAGGCGACCCGCUGGUAUGUAACUGACGCUGAUGCGCGAAAGCGUGGGUAGCAAACAGGAUUAGAUACCCUUGUAGUC
rnacentral:rRNA from 1 species